GUGCCAGCCGCCGCGGUAAUACGGAGGGUGCGAGCGUUAUCCGGAAUCACUGGGUUUAAAGGGUGCGUAGGCGGCCGGCUAAGUCAGGGGUGAAAUCCCGCCGCUCAACGGUGGAACUGCCCUUGAUACUGGCCGGCUCGAAUGGGCGCGAGGCGGGCGGAACGUGGCAUGUAGCGGUGAAAUGCUUAGAUAUGCCACAGAACACCGAUUGCGAAGGCAGCCCGCCAGAGCUCUAUUGACGCUGAGGCACGAAAGCGUGGGGAGCGAACAGGAUUAGAAACCCUCGUAGUCC
rnacentral:rRNA from 1 species